GAGUCGGACGUGACUGAGCAACUUUCACUUUUACUUCCUGUUAUACCUUGCCAUCACACAGUUCCUAUUUCUCAUAAAUAGCUUCAUAAAAAUGAGACUGUCUGUAAGUCACUAAGGGUGCACUAAAUCAUAAGGCAUCACAGAAUGAAGAAGAAGUAGGAGCAUUUGUUCACAACUGUGACCUUUCCAGUCAUGCUGGGAAAGCAGAGAGCAGGCCUGUGGAGGUACGCUUACCAAAGAGGUCAUGCCAUCGCAAUUAACGGAAAGUCACAGAUGGUGAGCUGUACGUGAUGGGCAUACUCUCCCUGAGACAUUUUAAGCAAACUGAUGCUCUUCUGGAUGGCUGUUUUGACUAUACCUGUGAGGACCUUAAUAUUGUGUCUUGAUGUAUAUUUGAUAUGAAGAAUGGCAUAUGUUGAUAAGCACAAAGCAGUCAUUGAUUUCUGGACCCAGACACACUGGAAAGCAUCACAAAUCGUAUGACGGGACUGGCAAGACUCAGUGAUUUAUCUAAAGGAUGUUCAGAAAUUAACGUGUCAAUAAAACUCUUUGGUGGCUAUAAAUCCA